GGCGCAGCCUGAUCUAGCCAUGCCGCGUGUGUGAUGAAGGUCUUAGGAUCGUAAAGCACUUUCGCCAGGGAUGAUAAUGACAGUACCUGGUAAAGAAACCCCGGCUAACUCCGUGCCAGCAGCCGCGGUAAUACGGAGGGGGUUAGCGUUGUUCGGAAUUACUGGGCGUAAAGCGUACGUAGGCGGAUUGGAAAGUUGGGGGUGAAAUCCCAGGGCUCAACCCUGGAACUGCCUCCAAAACUAUCAGUCUAGAGUUCGAGAGAGGUGAGUGGAAUUCCAAGUGUAGAGGUGAAAUUCGUAGAUAUUUGGAGGAACACCAGUGGCGAAGGCGGCUCACUGGCUCGAUACUGACGCUGAGGUACGAAAGUGUGGGGAGCAAACAGGAUUAGAUACCCUGGUAGUCCACACCGUAAACGAUGAAUGCCAGUCGUCGGGCAGUAUACUGUUCGGUGACACACCUAACGGAUUAAGCAUUCCGCCUGGGGAGUACGGUCGCAAGAUUAAAACUCAA
rnacentral:rRNA from 1 species